GACGGAGGGUGCAAGCGUUUGUUCGGAAUUACUGGGCGUAAAGCGCGGGCAGGUGGCCUUUUAAGUCCUUUGUGAAAUUCCGGAGCUCAACUCCGGAUGUGCAUAGGAUACUGGAAGGCUAGAGACUGGUAGAGGCGAGCGGAAUUCCUGGUGUAGCGGUGAAAUGCGCAGAUAUCAGGAGGAACACCGGUGGCGAAGGCGGCGACCUGGGUCGAGACUGACGCUGAGGCGCGAAAGCGUGGGGAGCAAACAGG
rnacentral:rRNA from 1 species